UCAUUGCAGGUACAUUUAUCGUCCCAGGCCUUUUUACGGCUUCCCAGGAGAUUCAUCCAGCACAGACUCAUCAGAGGACUGGAAUUCACCCCUGUCUCCUACUCGCUUAAGAGGUACACCGCCGUUCACACACAC